ensembl:lncRNA
CCUCUUACUGCUACUACUUUAUGCUGUAUUUGUGUGCACUGCAGGGGUGCUCAGGUGCCAGACUGCUGCUGGUAUUCGUGCUGUUUUGUCCGCAGUGGAGCACCUCAACCUCCACUACAUUUUUAAGGAUCAGAGUCUCUUGGUUUCUCCAUUUUCCUCCUCAUUUCAGCUUGAUACUUCUCACUAGGAACCACUUUCUGUACCAGAACAGUGCACCAGUCAUUAAAAGAACGGGGAAAAACACAACAGAAGGUGUAAGGCUGUGUCUUACUCUUCCCCUACCCCAUUUCUUUUUGUAGAAACAGAGACAUUGCUACCCUGUCUCACAGUAAGCGAGACAUUGGUCUAAUUGCUUUUAAUGACAGAGGGCAAGCAUCCCCCUAGUCAGUCACUGCCUUGAUGGAGAGAGGCCCUCGGUUUUCACAACUGGCAGUUGCCUCUCUCACGCACUAAAUUCACGUGUACGUGUGUGUACGCAUUCAUCAGCAUUUACUCCUUUGCAGUGUCUCAUGAGAAUUAAUAUUAUUCCUCUACACCAACAAAACUUCCAUCGUGCCAUCCACACCACUGCAUACGUACGGCAACCCCGUCUAGAGGAAUGCCUCAUUCCAGGUGUCAGCUGGAAGCUGUUCCACAGAAGAGCUGAGGAGCACUUCAGUAAUUCCUGCUCCAGCUCUGCCAUUUCCAACUACCAGCAGAAGGCACGAAGCCGAUGGCAGCAACAGGUUCCAGGGAGAAUUACAAAACUCUCCCUACACGUGUGAGUACCGAUUGAGUAAUCUAUGCUUGGCUUGCAAACCUGAACUAAUUCAUUGUCCCAAAUCUGUUAAUCUCAACCACGACGCACUUAACGCGCCAUGGUGCCGCAAUGCAAACGCUCGGUCGCAGGAAUCAGAGCAAGUAAGUCAUUUGUUUUGCUCAGAAUCAGACUGCCCUGCUUCUGGUGGCCAGCUGCAUAUAAUGGCAAACAUAAAAUCAAUCAGAAGCACAGAAAAGAGCUCUCUCUCAUAUAAAACACAAACUUCUCCCACACUUGAAUCGUGGAACAGAACACUGCAUUAACACACCCACUUUCCUGUGGCUCCACAAACUUAGAUACCUAUUUUGCAUAUCCUUCAGAGCAGAUGCGUCCACUUUAUUAUUACAUGGAAGUGUAAUUGACGCAUGUAUUUCAUUUUUUCUUAUCAUUUAUUCAUUUGCCUAUAUUUUGGCAUGCAAAGCCUCAUCUUUAAAACCGUGGCAUAAGGAAAGAUCCUAUUUCAGGGAAAACACACUUGUAUUGUACCGGCCGUACGUGCACAGAAGGCACGCGGAAUGGCCACAACAGUCGUCCUUGCCUGGAACCUUCCUGUCCCCGAGCUCCCUACAGAGCAGGUGCAGGAGAGACUCCACCAGUGUGAGCUGCUGGAUGAAUGGCUGCUACAGAACAGCUCAAAGAGAAAGGAAAAGGCUGAAGUGGACGGAAAAUAAAGCUGUCAGAAAUAUUAGAGACCCUCCUCAAGCUGUCACGAAGCUUACAGUCUCCUCAUCUGGAAACGUGUGCAACUACAAAGGAUGUGCACUCUACAAGCAAUAAAAACUUGUUUGGACAACGCACUUUCCAUUUACAGAAUGUACUGCGUGCGUGCCUUGUGUCCGCUAUGUUCCUGAAGAGGCCAGAAACACACGCAAAGGGUCUGCAAGAAUGACAGCCUUACACUUCUCCGAGAUGCCCAUCACCAGAGCAAGCGUCACGCAAAGUCGAGCUGCUUUAACAGCCUGCACACAUGCACUCUGAAAUCCACUCUAUCUGCAGCCGCCACUCUCCACAAAACGCCAAUGAAGGAGUAAUUGCAUCAUAACGACAAGUAGGAGGUGGCUGCAGUGCUUUGGGCUUGACCUGAAUAUUCUUAUCUGCUGUUAAAUUUCACAAACGGAAACGGCUCUUGCUUUAAAUUCCCACAGUUCGGUCACGGAUCUGAAAGGAAGUUUUCCUAAUCUGGACUAAACACGCCAUGAAAAAUGCUCCCAGAAGCUCACAGCGCUUCAGCGCAACCAGACAGGAUUGUCUUCUCGUUUCAGGCUUACGUCAGUGCACUGCCUAAACCAGACCUGGAUCUGGAUAACGGAUCCUGCUCGAUUAAUUAGCCCAUCCCUAAUGUCUUGAAUAAACGUGAGCAUCGGCGAAACUGAAAUUACAAAAGAAAAAGAGUUUACAGGACAGGAGACUUUACAGACUCCACAAGGCCACACAAGGGCCUAAGGCCCCGCAGCCUAAGGCCCCGCAGCCUAAGGCCCCGCUGCCCGCCUCCUUCACAGGCGGCGCUUCCACUGCCUUCAGCGCAGCAGGGCUGUGCCCCUUCAAAGAACAGGAGAGGAUUCUUACGUAGAAAACAGCGAAAAAUCUUCUUUGCUAACGGGAAAAACUCCUUGCAGUAAUCAUAUUUAAAGCAUGGUCAACAAAUAUGACAAGCCUACAACGGCAUCGCGGCAGUGCUUCGGCAAUACCACAGCAGGCUGCUGUAUCUGCAGGACUGUUCAUUUACUUUCCCCUAAAUCUGGAAUUGUUGCUUUUCACCAAACGCCCUGUUUGUCGGCACAUCCGUAUGCCAACAUCGCAGCGCGCGCCCCAGGGUAAGGACGAGCAGCAGGCAGAGACGGGGCUCCUGCACACGCGUUGCACACAGCAGCGCCAUCAGAGAUGCCAAGUCUCCAUCUCCUCCUGUGCUUCGUGUGGUGACAGCUAGCUGCGCCGCUCACAGACCUUCCCACAGCGUAGCAGCGUAUCUUCACCAAGAGUAACACAACGCCGCUGCUCCUGAGCACCAAGGAACUGCCCCACUGCGCGCACUGCAGCGCUGAGCGGUACUGCCGCACCUAAGUGGUUUUGGCAGGCAGCACGCAGGGCAGAGGCGCACAGCGAGAUGCACGUUUAAGCCCUCCUGUGUUUUCUCAUCAUACCGCCACCCGAAAUGGAUCUCACCAUUUCUGAACCCACGACCAAAGUACCUGCCCACCUAGCAGGGCAGCAGCGAGCUGCUACCACGGGAUCACAGCAGCACAGCUGCAGUCUUUAAGAGCCCCUACAGCUGGAGCUCAAGCAGAUGCUGACAGAACUCGCCUGCUUUUCUUUCUCAAGAGCACACGUAGCUUCCACCCCUUACAAAAACACAGAGCAGGCAAAAUGAGAUACAUGUGCACACACAUGUUAACUGAAUUAACUGGAGGCGGCCGAUAGAUGCAUCCCGAACGUCCAUCUGUUUACAAAAGACACUUGUGGCUUUCAAGUCUUGUGCUCCUUCUAGUGUAAUUCUCAACCAAAACAGUUUACGUUCAACCGGAAGGCUCUGCUGCAGGGUUUCCACACAUAAUGGCCACGUGUUUAUCGGGCUCUCCAGUUUGAACUAUGUCAAAAUAGCCACGCUACCCAUUCACGGAACGCACCGAAUCCACGCCAGCCUUUCCCAUCUCGGCUGGGAAGCCUCAUGAGGCAAAGCCGGGAACGGCCUUGUCAAAUGGGAUAGCUAACAGUAACAGAAAGCUCCCGGUUCCGCAGCUGUGAACUGUAUUUUCAGGCCGAAGAGUCCACUUCCGCAGCAGUGCCACACUUCUCAGCACCGGCUGGGACCGAGGGGAUACAGAGCAGCAGUGGGCGCAAGCAGCUGCUCUCAAACGCGCUCCAGGGCUGUGGGCUGCCAGCUUUCUUUGCACGGGGAUGAGGGAAGCCGGGACGCGUCGCCUUACUUUAUUCCAGCAGCACAACCGGAAUAAAACUUCACGUUUUCCCGGCUGACUUCAGCUCGGUGCUCCAUUCUUUGACGGAGACGCAGCGCAACGCGUCUCUGCAGCGCGAUCCCUCUUCCCCUCUCACCGCGACCGCGGGGUAUUCCUGGCGCUGCGCGGGGGUCGCCCGCGGCGGCGCUCCCCGGAGCGGCGCU